rnacentral:rRNA from 1 species
AGUUGGGCACUCUAAGGUGACUGCCGGUGACAAACCGGAGGAAGGUGGGGAUGACGUCAAAUCAUCAUGCCCCUUAUGACCUGGGCUACACACGUGCUACAAUGGACAGAACAAAGGGCUGCGAGACCGCAAGGUUUAGCCAAUCCCACAAAUCUGUUCUCAGUUCGGAUCGCAGUCUGCAACUCGACUGCGUGAAGCUGGAAUCGCUAGUAAUCGCGGAUCAGCAUGCCGCGGUGAAUACGUUCCCGGGCCUUGUACACACCGCCCGUCACACCACGAGAGUUUGCAACACCCGAAGUCGGUGAGGUAACCUUUAUGGAGCCAGCCGCCGAAGGUGGGGCAGAUGAUUGGGGUGAAGUCGUAACAAGGUAGCCGUAUCGGAAGGUGCGGCUGGAUCACCUCCUUU